rnacentral:rRNA from 1 species
GACGAACGCUGGCGGCGUGCUUAACACAUGCAAGUCGAACGGUGAAGCGCCUUCCUUUUUGGUGGGUGUGGAUGAGUGGCGAACGGGUGAGUAACACGUGAGUAACCUGCCCCCUUCUUCUGGAUAACCGCAUGAAAGUGUGGCUAAUACGGGAUAUUCUGGGUCUGUCGCAUGAUGGGUCUGGGAAAGAUAUUGUUUCGGUGGGGGAUGGGCUCGCGGCCGAUCAGCGUGUAGGUGGGGUGAUGGCCUACCACGGGUGUGACGGGUAGCCGGCCUUGGAGGGUGGACGGUCACACUGGGACUGCGGCACGGUCGGGACUGCUACGGGGGGCAGCAUCGUGGAGUAUGGCGCAGUGGGCGCAAGCCUGAUGCGGCGGGGCCGCGUGAGCGGUGGAGGCCUUCGGGGUGUGAACCUCUUUGGCCAGUAAAGCAGUUCUGCCUCGUUUGUAGGUUGGUUGACGGUAGCUGGAUAAGAAGCGCCGGCUAACUACGUG